UUUUCUAUGCUUCCCCCCAUUCUCUGGAACUUUUCUCCCCACAUAGUGUGUGUGUCUUCUCUCCAAUAGAGUGUUAACCUUAAGCAGAAAGUGUUUGUCCUUCCUAAUUCCCCACUGAGUUCGAUCCUCGUGGAAGAUUUUGUUUCAAUUUUCCUCUCCAGUUCAUUAUCUAGAUGGAAUCAAUCCUCAAAUUAGUUUAUUUCAUCAUUGGGUGAAGUCCU
rnacentral:lncRNA from 1 species